AACGAACGCUGGCGGCAGGCUUAACACAUGCAAGUCGAACGCCCCACAAGGGGAGCGGCAGACGGGUGAGUAACGCGUGGGAAUCUACCCAUCUCUACGGAAUAACGCAUGGAAACGUGUGCUAAUACCGUAUACGUCCUUCGGGAGAAAGAUUUAUCGGAGAUGGAUGAGCCCGCGUUGGAUUAGCUAGUUGGUGGGGUAAAGGCCUACCAAGGCGACGAUCCAUCGCUGGUCUGAGAGGAUGAUCAGCCACACUGGGACUGAGACACGGCCCAGACUCCUACGGGAGGCAGCAGUGGGGAAUAUUGGACAAUGGGCGCAAGCCUGAUCCAGCCAUGCCGCGUGAGUGAUGAAGGCCCUAGGGUUGUAAAGCUCUUUCACCGGUGAAGAUAAUGACGGUAACCGGAGAAGAAGCCCCGGCUAACUUCGUGCCAGCCGCCGCGGUAAUAC
rnacentral:rRNA from 1 species